rnacentral:rRNA from 1 species
AUUGAACGCUGGCGGCAGGCCUAACACAUGCAAGUCGAGCGAGCGGCGGACGGGUGAGUAAUGUAUGUGGACUGUCCGAUAGAGGGGGAUAACUCCUGGAAACGGUAUCUAAUACCGCAUACUAUCGGAUAACCCAUAUGGGAUUAGCUAGUAGGUGGGGUAACGGCUCACCUAGACGACGAUCCCUAGCUGGUCUGAGAGGAUGAUCAGCCACACUGGAACUGGGACACGGCCCAGACUCCUACGGAGGCAGCAGUGGGGAAUAUUGCACAAUGGGCGCAAGCCUGAUGCAGCCAUGCCGCGUGUAUGAAGAAGGCCUUAGGGUUGUAAAGUACUUUCAGUCGGGAGGCGUUACCGGCAGAAGAAGCACCGGCUAACUACGUGCCAGCAGCCGCGGUAAUAC